rnacentral:rRNA from 1 species
CGAACGCUGGCGGCGCGUCUUAAGCAUGCAAGUCGGACGGCAAGGGUUGUGCUUGCACGAACUCCUAGAGUGGCGGACUGGUGAGUAACGCGUGGGUGACCUGCCCUCGAGAUGGGGAUAGCCAUUAGAAAUAGUGGAUAAUACCGAAUACGCUCAUGACCCUGUGGGAUAUGAGGAAAACAGGCUACGGCCUGGCUCGAGGAUGGGCCCGCGUCCCAUUAGCUAGUUGGUGAGGUAACGGCCCACCAAGGCGACGAUGGGUAUCCGGCCUGAGAGGGUGUACGGACACAUUGGGACUGAGAUACGGCCCAAACUCCUACGGGAGGCAGCAGCUAAGAAUAUUCCGCAAUGGACGAAAGUCUGACGGAGCGACGCCGCGUGGAUGAAGAAAGGCCGGAAGGUUGUAAAAUCCUUUUGCUGAUGAAGAAUAAGUGUGGUAGGGAAUGACCGCAUGAUGACAUUAGUCGGUGAAUAAGCCCCGGCUAACUACGUGCCAGCCGCCGC